CCAUCCCCCGAUUUCCCGGGAAGGGGACGUAGGCCAAAGUCUACCGCGGACACGCUAGAUAGCAGGCCACAGCCACCUCCCAAGCCCCAGCUACCAGGAAACCCAUACUACGCGCCGCGUGAGAGCAGAGAAAGAACGCGUCGCCCUCCCACAAUGCUUUUCUACGACCGGAAGAGACCACUGCCCGCUGGAGUGGGGGGGGACGGACUGUACUACGGCCGCCGCGCUCUCUCCUGCCGCCGUGUGGCCGGAGGGAGAAGUGCACCGCGGGAGGCUGCGGCGCCGAUUUCCUAGAAAGAGGGCGCUCACCGGAUCCCUUUGCUUUUGUGGGACCGGUUCUGCCCUGCACCCCACUCCGCACAGCAAAUAGGAUGAUAAGGAUAUUUUGUCGAGUGUGUGUCCAGCUAUCCCUCCUUCCUGGCCAGAGCGUUUGGUCAGUGAUGAGCAGCGGGCGUAGAGCUGGAGGAGCUCAGACCCAGAGUUGGGGGAGGCUGGAUGGUUCUUCUCCGGAUAAGGAGCAGUAAGGUUGAAAAUUUAUAAAGCAAAACCAAGGCCUAGGACUUACAUGCUCCAGGUUCUGUCUGAAAUGCCCGUGAAUGGGGAUGUGAAUGAUGUCUCUUGCAGUCUAGUGUUGGACAAUCGAUAAACAAACAAAAACCAAACAACAUUAAGAUCCGGGUAGAGUGGCGCGCACUGCCCAAGCUGAGGGAGGAGUUCAGGCUCAUCCUAGACUACUUAGUGAUUAGAGGCCAGCCUGGGCUACAUAAUCUCCAGUCUCAAAACGAAAUCCACAUACCACCACCCAACCAGAGAAGCUGGGUUGUGGAGGAAGAGGCUAUUAGUCCCAGCAUUUGAGAAGAAGAAGAGGCAGGAAGAUCUCUGAGUUCUAGACUAGCCUGGCUUAUACUGAGUUCCAGUCAGAGAUACAUAAGUGAUACCUAGGGCUAUAUAAGUGAGACCUUGUCUGGAAACAAAACAAAACAAAACAAAACAAAACAAAACAAAACAAAACAACCAGUAUUGCUCAAUAGAAACACAGCAAGUGGUAGGACAAGAUGGCAGGUGAUGUUAAGAUUCUGCUCUGUAUAUUUACAGGUUGUUAUUAAUGUUCUCAAGGGAUGGAUAGUACCGGGCUUUGUAUGUUUAAGUGGGCAAUUAUAUUUUACCAAUUGGGGAAAAAAAAAAAAAAAGAAA
rnacentral:lncRNA from 1 species